rnacentral:lncRNA from 1 species
GGAAAUACGCUGAUGGUGUGAAUUUCCAUCUCUGGUUUCAGGAUGCCCUUUUGGUUGACAGCAGAACUGGGAACAUAAUCGAGAUAAGACGGGGCCAUGCUAGGAAAUGGACUUUUAGGAGGCAGUAAAGAGCACCUUCAGUUGUACAUACUUCUCAUACUAGAUGGCCCCUUAGUGUUCGCCAUAGCAAAGCACUCAAGAUCCCUAUAAGAUAAAGAACAUAUAUUUGAAUGUGAGAUAAGUAAACCUUCAAAAGUAUAACACCUCUUGAUAAAGGCAAAUCCAGUAAAAAUAAAAAAUAGAAAGAACACUUUGUGAAAAAUAUAAAGAUCCCAUUAUUUAGCAAGCGGAGUACAACGACCAAAUCCCAAAUUUCUUUUCCAAAAAUUAAGAGUCGGAUUCCAGACCCAAGCUAAAGGAGAUGAGGCAACAAUAGGCACUGAAAACAUUCUGCGCAAUUAAUUCUAUUAACAAAUAGCAGUCCCGUCAAAUUCAAAAAAACCAUGAUCUUUCUGGAAAAUCUAGCCUUCCUAAAACACCAGGUACUUUUCCUAUAAGAAAAAGAGCAUACAUAUGAAAGUGGGAUGAGUAAACCUUCAAAAGUUAACAGCUCUUGAUAAAGGAAAAUCCAGUAAAAAUGAAAAACAAAAAUACACUUUGUGAGCAACACGGGUCCCUGUAAAGACAAUCUCAUUAUUUAGGACGCCAAGUAUCACCACCAAAUCCCGAAUUUCUUUUCCAAACCUAAAACUGAAGGAGAUGAGGCAACAAUAGGCACUGCAAACAUUCUGCUCCAUUAACUAUAUGAACAACUAGCUGUCCCGUGAAUGGGAUAUAAUCAAAUUCUAAGAAACCAUGAUCUUUCUCGAAAAUUUAGCCUUCCAAAAACCCAGGUAUUUUCGAGUAUUCAGGGAAUUCCCUGUUCAUUCCAGAUUGCAUCAAUAUGGACGAUCCAUUAAGAAUCUCAAAUCAUUCAUUUAUGAGCUUCAAGCCUUGCAAGUUUUUGAGAUCUUGUAUUAAUUUCUGUUCAUUUUCAAGGUAGAGUUUCUGGCCCUUAUAGGACAAAUACCUUAUUCCGAGCAACCAAGAAAGAAUAAAAAGGGGAACAAGGAAGAAAAAGUGAAGAAGGAACACAUUUAUCACCAAGAGUUGGGUGAAAAGGAAGAAAUGCCUCCCAUUUGGAACUGCAAAAGCAAUCAAAAAUAUAGAGACAAGCGUCAGCCUCCGGGGAGGAGGCUCAUUCUUACAUUUCCUCUUUUUUUUUUCCUUUCUGUUUUUUAUAAGGAAUGAGGAGGUAGGACAUGGAUUGUGUCAGAAUCCAGUAACUGUUCGAAACCAUUAUGUUUUCUACAGCUCUGUACUAAAAGUAAU